rnacentral:rRNA from 1 species
ACUGUGCGUGCUAAUUCAAAAAUCCAUAUUAACCCCUUCAACUAUAUUGAGAACUUCUAUAACUAUAUAGAACCUUUCAUGCUAAAACUAGUAACAAGAGAAAAUCCUCUCUCUAAUGCAAACAUAAGCCAGCAAGAACCCAUCACUGGCAAUUAACAGCCCUAAACAAAAUAGCAACCUCACUAGAAAACCCUACUCCCCCAACUGUUAACCUAACACUAGAGCAUUUCAAGAAAGAUUAAAAGAAAAAGAAGGAACUCGGCAAACUCCAGUCCCGCCUGUUUACCAAAAACAUCGCCUCUUGCUCUCUAUAAGAGGUCUAACCUGCCCAGUGACUCUGUUCAACGGCCGCGGUAUCCUAACCGUGCGAAGGUAGCGUAAUCACUUGUUUUCUAAAUAAAGACCUGUAUGAAAGGUAUAACGAGGACUAAACUGUCUCCUUUUUCCAAUCAGUGAACCUAAUCUCCCCGUGAAGAAGCGGGGAUUUCUAUAUAAGACGAGAAGACCCUAUGGAGCUUAAAACAUCAUAACACCUGCCACCCACCUUUAAUUACCCAAGUAUUCCUUCAACCGGCACCCUGAUUCUAUGUUUUUGGUUGGGGUGACCGCGGAGAAAACCUCAUCCUCCGCAAUGAAAGGGGAUUUUCCCCUAAACAAUAAGUUACAACUUUAUGUACCAACAAAUUGACAUCCAUUGACCCAAUAAAUUGAUUAAUGAACCAAGUUACCCUAGGGAUAACAGCGCAAUCCACUUUAAGAGCCCCUAUCGACAAGUGGGCUUACGACCUCGAUGUUGGAUCGGGAUAUCCUAGUGGUGCAGCCGCUACUAAGGGUUCGUUUGUUCAACGAUUAAAUC